rnacentral:rRNA from 1 species
GAUGAACGCUGGCGGCGUGCUUAACACAUGCAAGUCGAACGGAAAGGCUCCUGCUUGCAGGGGUACUCGAGUGGCGAACGGGUGAGUAACACGUGGGUGAUCUGCCCUGCACUUCGGGAUAAGCCUGGGAAACUGGGUCUAAUACCGGAUAGGACGAUGGUUUGGAUGCCAUUGUGGAAAGUUUUUCGGUGUGGGAUGAGCUCGCGGGCUAUCAGCUUGUUGGUGGGGUAAUGGCCUACCAAGGCGUCGACGGGUAGCCGGCCUGAGAGGGUGUACGGCCACAUUGGGACUGAGAUGCGGCCGAGACUCCUACGGGAGGCAGCGGUGGGGAAUAUUGCACAAUGGGCGCAAGCCUGAUGCAGCGACGCCGCGUGGGGGAUGACGGCCUUCGGGUUGUAAACUCCUUUCGCUAGGGACGAAGCGCAAGUGACGGUAACUGGAGAAGAAGCAGCGGCUAACUACG